rnacentral:lncRNA from 1 species
UGGCAGGUACUGAGCCUGCUGUAGGUUAUCAGUUUAAGUGGUGGUAUGUUGUACCAGCCAACAUGAAGAUGUCCUGCAUCAACGUGAGAAGCUCCAAGUGUGACGGUAUUAACGUGGGGAAUCAUAUCUGCAGUGGCGCACGGGGCUCUGAUAAUGACUACCUCAUCCUCAACCUCCACGUACCUGGCUUCAAGAGGGCUGUGUGUACAGAUAAUGUGACUGACCUAUCCAGCGCCGACUCUCAGAGAGAGACAGGGGAAUCAGCCAAUGUGGUGGAGAGUUUCAUCUGUCAAUCAACCAUCAUCCCCUCCAGUGGGCGGGGCUUCCGCACAUCACUAUCCUCCCAGUCCACCAGCUCAGCAGACACGUUCUUGGGACACGCUGUGUGUGUAGAAUGA